rnacentral:rRNA from 1 species
UACGGGGGGGCAAGCGUUGUUCGGAAUUACUGGGCGUAAAGGGCUCGUAGGUGGCCAACUAAGUCAGACGUGAAAUCCCUCGGCUUAACCGGGGAAUGGCGUCUGAUACUGGAUGGCUUGAGUUCGGGAGAGGGAUGCGGAAUUCCAGGUGUAGCGGUGAAAUGCGUAGAUAUCUGGAGGAACACCGGUGGCGAAGGCGGUCGCUGGCGUG